GAUGAACGCUGGCGGCGUGCCUAAUACAUGCAAGUCGAGCGAACGGACGAGAAGCUUGCUUCUCUGAUGUUAGCGGCGGACGGGUGAGUAACACGUGGAUAACCUACCUUUAAGACUGGGAUAACUUCGGGAAACCGGAGCUAAUACCGGAUGAUAUUUUGAACCGCAUGGUUCAAAAGUGAAAGACGGUCUUGCUGUCACUUAUAGAUGUAUCCGCGCUGCAUUAGCUAGUUGGUAAGGUAACGGCUUACCAAGGCAACGAUGCAUAGCCGACCUGAGAGGGUGAUCGGCCACACUGGAACUGAGACACGGUCCAGACUCCUACGGGAGGCAGCAGUAGGGAAUCUUCCGCAAAGGGCGAAAGCCUGACGGAGCAACGCCGCGUGAGUGAUGAAGGUCUUCGGAUCGUAAAACUCUGUUAUUAGGGAAGAACAUAUGUGUAAGUAACUGUGCACAUCUUGACGGUACCUAAUCAGAAAGCCACGGCUAACUACGUG
rnacentral:rRNA from 1 species